GGUCAAGUAGAAAAGGGCGCACGGUGAAUGCCUAGGCACUAACAGCCGAUGAAGGACGUGACGAACUACGAAAAGCUUCGGGGAGCGGUAAGUACGCAGUGAUCCGGAGAUGUCCGAAUGGGGGAACCCAAUGCAGCGAUGCAUUAUUGGUUGAUGAAUAGAUAGUCAAUCAAAGGAAGACGCAGUGAACUGAAACAUCUAAGUAGCUGCAGGAAGAGAAAGAAAAAUCGAUUUCCUUAGUAGCGGCGAGCGAAGAGGAAAGAGCCCAAACCAAGUGAUUUAUCAUUUGGGGUUGUAGGACUGCAAAGUGGUAGCGUAAGCGAUAGUUGAAUUAUCUGGGAAGGUAAGCCAGAGAGGGUGAGAGCCCCGUAAGCGAAAUUGCGAGCGCGCCUAGCAGAAUCCUGAGUAGGCCGGGACACGAGGAAUCCCGGUUGAAGCCGCGAGGACCAUCUCGCAAGGCUAAAUACUAGUUAGUGACCGAUAGUGAACCAGUACCGUGAGGGAAAGGUGAAAAGAACCCCGGAAGGGGAGUGAAAGAGAACCUGAAACCGUGUGUCUACAAGUAGUCAAAGCACAUUAAAGUGCGAUGGCGUGCCUUUUGUAGAAUGAACCGGCGAGUUACGUUAUCUAGCGAGGUUAAGUCAGAAAAGACGGAGCCGGAGCGAAAGCGAGUCUGAAUAGGGCGAAGAGUUAGGUGACGUAGACCCGAAACCAAGUGACCUACCCAUGGCCAGGCUGAAGGUGUGGUAAAACGCACUGGAGGGCCGAACCCACGUAAGUUAAAAAUUGCGGGGAUGAGCUGUGGGUAGCGGUGAAAUUCCAAACGAACUUGGAGAUAGCUGGUUCUCUCCGAAAUAGCUUUAGGGCUAGCCUCGUGGAGAGGAUAAUGGAGGUAGAGCUCUGUUUGGACUAGGGGCCCGUCAGGGGUUACUGAAUCCAGAUAAACUGCGAAUUCCAUAUAUCCAUACACGGGAGUCAGACUGCGAGUGAUAAGAUCCGUAGUCGAAAGGGAAACAGCCCAGAUCACCAGUUAAGGUCCCCAAAUCUAUGCUAAGUGGAAAAGGAUGUGGAGUUGCGUAGACAACUAGGACGUUGGCUCAGAAGCAGCCAUCAUUCAAAGAGUGCGUAAUAGCUCACUAGUCGAGUGGCGCUGCGCCGAAAAUUUACCGGGGCUAAGCAUAGUACCGAAACUGUGGAUGCAUCGAAAGAUGCGUGGUAGGAGAGCGUUCUAAGUGCGGCGA
rnacentral:rRNA from 1 species